rnacentral:rRNA from 1 species
AACGAACGCUGGCGGCAUGCCUAAUACAUGCAAGUCGAACGAGAUCUUCGGACCUAGUGGCGCACGGGUGCGUAACGCGUGGGAAUCUGCCCUUGGGUUCGGAAUAACUUCUGGAAACGGAAGCUAAUACCGGAUGAUGACGUAAGUCCAAAGAUUUAUCGCCCAAGGAUGAGCCCGCGUAGGAUUAGGUAGUUGGUAAGGUAAAGGCUCACCAAGCCGACGAUCCUUAGCUGGUCUGAGAGGAUGAGCAGCCACACUGGGGCUGAGACACGGCCCAGACUCCUACGGGAGGCAGCAGUAGGUAAUAUUGGACAGUGGGCGGAAGCCUGAUCCAGCAAUGCCGCGUGAGUGAUGAAGGUCGUAGGGUUGUAAAGCUCUUUUACCCGGGAUGAUAAUGACGGUACCGGGAGAAUAAGCUCCGGCUAACUCCGUG